UACGUAGGGGGCAAGCGUUGUCCGGAUUUAUUGGGCGUAAAGAGCGUGUAGGCGGCCAGAUAAGUCCGCUGUGAAAUCUCGAGGCUCAACUUCGAGCUGUCGGUGGAAACUGUCUGGCUAGAGUCCGGAAGAGGAGAAUGGAAUUCCUGGUGUAGCGGUGAAAUGCGCAGAUAUCAGGAAGAACACCCGUGGCGAAGGCGGCUCUCUGGGACGGUACUGACGCUGAGACGCGAAAGCGUGGGGAGCGAACAGG
rnacentral:rRNA from 1 species